UGUUGAGGGAAGAGCGAGCUGCACGCGCACGCUCCGCCUCACGAGGAGGAGAAUGAAAAAGCAAGAGAUUCUGAUGAGCGAGGCUUUUAUCCCUCAGUUCGGCUGACCCGGCGCCUAAUUAGCAGGCAGGAUCUCUUGGAUUGACACCUUGCUUAACUGAGUGGUUGUGCUUUACUGAAUUUUUCCAUUGAUGAAGAAUCCUUCAGAACCAUUGGUAUCUGAAGAGACAAGGUAUCUUGCUGCAACUUCACUAAGUGGCAUUUCUUGUCGAUGAGAGGAACUCGUCUCUCUCUUUCCACACAAACAGAGCGCAGAAUGGAGCUGUAGUAUGGACUUCUUUCAGAAAGACAGCAACAAAAAUAAGACUCAGAGUAAAGAACCCUGAAGCAAGGACUUUUCAGUGGCUUCAUGUCUGUAUCAACCCGUGUCAUACCCAGAUGAAUUCCAUAAUGAGUCACUUCUGAUCCAGCUUACUCAGACCUUCCAUGUUUGUUCCCUGUCUACAGACCACGAGCUCUCAGGUUCAAGGCAGCAAGACUCACAAUCCUGCUUACAGAAUGUGCCUGUUUUGCAGUCAUGGAGGCACCCGGCCAGAUGAGGUUCAAGCUGGUCUGCAUUGAUUUGAACUUAAGGUAGUGUUGGAACUGCUCUAUUACCUGGAAGAACUCUGGAUUCUGGUUAAGUUCAUUUUGAUCCUGCUCAUAUUGGCUGCUUAAAGUGUACUUACACACAGCUUGAGCCUGUCUGGAUGCUGUUCUUCCUCUUCAGUCAUUUUUCUGCCCUGAUUUGUAUUCCUGCCCUCCAGCGUAACGUUAUUCAGAAACUUCUCGUCCUCCUGUGCAGCAGCAUAAAUAAGUUUGGCCACUGGGAAUACAGUACAGGGGUGGGAAAACAAUCCCGUAAUUGAAGACCUACUUCUAGCACCAGCGUUGCGAAUUAAAUCCAUCAGAGGACUCUCAGAACCCAGGACAACUUGCCACCUCAGAGCAACUUAUGCAUUGAAGAGUGUAGAUGGAAGCAACGGUAAGUAGAUUAAACAGAGGCUAAUACUGUGAUUGACGUUGGCAAUGGUUGGCAAAAAAAGGAAGAAAAGAAAAAAAAAGAAAAAGCUCUGAUAAAACUGCACAAAACAAUUCACAGUACUAUUUUAGCUUUUCCACACCAGGAAUGGACUCUCUUUGUUUUGCAGUUGGUUUCAUUGCAGAUGCUCUCUGGUUUUUGAAGUCAGCCGGCGACCGCUCACGGAGGCUGGGAGGGACCCUGCUCAGAGCGGGGCCGGGAGAGCGCCUUGCUGACGGCCAGGGGUACCAGCAGGCGUGCUUGUGCAGCUUCCUUUAGGAUCUCUGUACUAAAAUAACCUGGUAACAAGAACUGUAACUUUUUUUUUUUUUUU